AUUAGCUCAGUUGGUAGAGCAGUAGACUCUUAAUCUAUUUGUCCAGGGUUCGAGUCCCUG
rnacentral:tRNA from 1 species